rnacentral:rRNA from 1 species
UAACACAUGCAAGUCGAACGAGAAAGCUUUCUUCGGAAGGUGAGUAGAGUGGCGCACGGGUGAGUAACACGUAAGUAAUCUGUCUCCGAAUCCGGGAUAACAUUGCGAAAGCGAUGCUAAUACCGGAUAAAGUUGUAUUAACUGCGGUUGAUAUAAUGAAAGGCGGCUUCGGCAGUCGAUCGGAGGUGAGCUUGCGUCCCAUUAGCUAUUUGGCAGGGUAAGAGCCUACCAAGGCACCGAUGGGUAGCUGGUCUGAGAGGAUGAUCAGCCACACUGGAACUGAAACACGGUCCAGACUCCUACGGGAGGCAGCAGUGAGGGAUUUUGCGCAAUGGGGGAAACCCUGACGCAGCAAUGCCGCGUGAGUGAAGAAGGCCUUCGGGUCGUAAAGCUCUGUCGAUGGGAAGAAGUUAUUAAUUAUUAAUA